GACUUUGCACAAGGGCAGUAUCGGAGCCCGUUAGGUUUCUCAGAGGCCCAAUUAUUGCUAAUUGAAAACUCUUCCCAAUACCCCACUGUCAUGACACGAACUAUAGUUGGCAAACCUUUCAGAGUAACUGGAAGAGGU